rnacentral:lncRNA from 1 species
GGCUACUGGGUGUAAAAGAUAAAUCUUAUUCUAUCUGUUCUUAAUGAGUUUUAGAUAAUUUUAGUUGUAUUUCUUUGUAAUUUUGUGUUGUACAAAGAUUAAUUUAACAUUUUCUCUGGAAGUAUUAAUUUAGAAAGAUAAUAUGCUUCAUUGGUGUUGUGUUUUGAAGUGUGAAAUGCAAAGUAAUUGUGAUAAAGUCAAGAUAAAGUUCACUUUUAAACUGAACUAAAUAAGGUAUCUGAGAGACAACAAUGGUUAAAUGCAAUACAAUGUACAGGUUUUACUAGCGAAAUGAAAAUUUUCCUGUCCUGUCUGCUGUAAUCAUUUUAUAUCUGGAAAACCAGCCGACUUAAUCGAUAAUAACAAUCUCCAGAUUGGGUUCCUUCAAUAAAUAUGGGCUAUAAACACAAUGAAAUAAGUUCCCCAAAAUCUAAAAUGGAGUG